CUUGGCGACCAUAGCGUUUUGGACCCACCUGAUUUCCAUGCCGAACUCAGAAGUGAAACGAAAUAGCGCCGAUGGUAGUGUGGGG
rnacentral:rRNA from 2 species